CUGAAAUCGAAUCUUGUGUAGUCUCCCCCAACACUCUCAAACAUACCUGUACGCAUGCGCGACAUUCCUACGGACGCCAAGUUUCUCUUGUGCGAGGGGGAAAUAACGGCGUCGCGCUGGAUCAACAACCAUGAAGCGUGUGUUCAGCUUACCAGAAUGCUCACAUGGGCAGGGCAGUAUUCAGUAUAUAUGGCAAAAAAACAAAGGAAACUACCUUGCAACCACUGGGUCUGAUCAAAAGGUUCAUAUUUUUGACAGACACGGUGACUUGAAAGGAGAUCUGUGCUUUCCAGGAAUAUGCACUGGCCUUGACUGGGACCACGAUGGAGACAUUCUGGCUGUGGUUUGUGAGCAGUCAAAUGGCAUUUUCCUCUGGGAUUCAAACUCAUUCAAAACCACUCAGAUAGACAGUGGUCUCAAAGAUACCAUGACAUUCCUGCAGUGGGCAAAGUCUCAGCCGUUGCUGGCUGUUGGAACUGUAAAGGGAAAUCUGCUUAUUUACAACCACCAGUCAUCAAGGAAAAUACCAAUCAUUGGAAAGCACACCAAGAAAAUCACCUGUGGUGCUUGGAGUGCUGAAAGUUUGCUUGCUCUUGGCAGUGAUGAUAAGUCUAUCACUAUUAGCAACAUGGAAGGUGACACAGUUCGUCACAUUCCUUUACGCAUGGAACCAUUUGACAUCCAGUUCUCAGAAAUGAAGGCAGAUGAGAGGAGCAGUAUAGGAGAGAAUACAGUAAGUGCUAAUGUGGGACACAAGACCCUAUUUCUCUACAACAUUAAUGACCCAGAGAAUCCAAUAGAGCUGGCAUUCCAACCACGCUAUGGCACGAUUGUCUCUUACAAGUGGUUUGGUGAUGGCUACAUCCUGAUUGGUUUUAAUCAAGGCUAUUUUGUUGUCAUCUCAACACACAUGAAAGAAAUAGGACAGGAGCUUUUCCAGGCCCGAAAUCACAAGAAUCAUCUGAACAGCAUAGCAGUAUCACCAUCUCUGGGCAAAGCAGCAUCUUGUGGUGACAACUGAUUUGUAUCUGUAAUCAACAAUGCGUAGAAGUGGAAGAGGAAAAUGUGUUCAGUUAGGUAGUGUUUGUACUAUCAAAGACAAUGGAAGGAAGGGUAAGUCCCGUAAGGUGCGAUGUUCUGUAAAGGAGUACCGAGACCUCAUGAGGUCUAUAGACUCACUACAAGGCAAUAGACCCAGCAUCAUUCAACAGGAGGAGCAUGAAGCCAGAAUCAUUCAACAGGAGGAGCAAGAACCCAGUGUAACCUUUCCACUUGAAACCAAUGAAUCUGAGGUGGCAGAACCUAGCAGCCACAAAAAAAAGGGCAGUAAACGAGGCAGAAGGAUGGAGAAAAAUACGAUCUGAUCUGGUUGUUGCCCGGAUGGAAGGAUUUUGUCCUGCUUCAAAUCAAUGUUCCUCAUGUGGCUCUUCUGAGGUUCCCGAAAUCAUAUGGUGUCCUGACUGUGGACCCAACACUCUGUAUUGCAUGAUGUGUAAUGAGAAUAUCCACCGCAUGGUAAUGUACCAUCAGGCGUAUGUUUGGAAAAAUGUAAGUACUAAAUGUAUAAAAUUAGUGAAAGUAUAUUUAUUCAAAAUCUUAGCCUAUUGGAAUGCAUUACACUGUUAGCACUGUGUAUGCUUAAAAUUUAAUUCAAAUAUUAAUAAACACUACACAGAUAACUGCUACAUUGAAAAUAUUAAAUUAGCUUGCAUAGUUGUAUACUUAUUUUUUCCUGCAGUUACAGAACAUAUCUUAUUUUUUGUCUAUCUGAUAAUUUGCUUAUGUUAAUUUUUUUUCAGGAUGUUUAUAUGUUUGUGCCCCUUAUUAAAGAAACAACCCUCAUCCAUGAACACUCAUGUGACAGCAUAUACUCUCGUCAAAUAAGAGUUUUUGAUGCAUUGGGGAGACAGCAUAAAAUAAAAUCCCAUUUCUGCCAGUGUGAGCCAGAAGCUGUUACGAGUACGAGUACGAGAUCUUUAAUGUCAGUAACUCAUAUAGUCAUUUUGACAUGGGGGGGAUACAUACAUAGUGGUAACACAAUGCAGCAUAGAAGGAAAAUAAUUUACAGUAUCAUCUGUACUAACUUGUUCGGACCCUGUCCUCCACAUGAAAUUUAGUAGAAUUCAUCUUUAUCUAUAUAUACUGCAAUACACUUUCCUCUAAUAGGUGAAUGCCAUCUUUUAUAUCUAAUGAAUUGUAACAAGGGCUGCCUUCUGGCACCAUAUAGCAUGAUAUCAAGAUAACAUCUUUGUCAGAGUUCAUUAAUUUUUUUAUCAAUUUUCAGUGUAACUAUAUUGGUUGAAUCAAAUCUUGCUUCCUUUAUAUAUUGUGACCAACAGCAUUUUACCGUAAGAAGAACCCCACCUGACCAUCGGCCCUGCUUAAACAAUUUUCUUGCAGGGGCAUAAAUCUUAAUGUAUUCUGGCAGGAUGUUAAGAGUAUCUCCAUGUGCGUCCCUGUUAAACAAAUAAAGUCAAAUGACGUGAUAUAAUCUACCAACAAGUUAUCUCCUCUACAUUAUAGUUAACACAAGUCAAACGCCUUGCCUGACGGCCAGUUUUUUCCUAUUUCCACUUGGGUUGUGAUCUUGUUGCACUAUCUGAGGUGUUCUUGUCACUUAUAUAGCUAUCCAGAGAGCCUUGCUUCUUCCCCUUUUCGCUUGCUCCUCCGUUCUUAUUCUUGCGCUAUUUGGGUGUACAUGUACUGUCAUCUCUCAUCAGCUGUUGCGUCCCUUUGACCUCUUCAGCAUAUCCGGACGCCGUGC
rnacentral:misc_RNA from 1 species